rnacentral:rRNA from 1 species
AUUGAACGCUGGCGGCAUGCUUUACACAUGCAAGUCGAACGGUAACAGGGUGCUUGCACCGCUGACGAGUGGCGAACGGGUGAGUAAUGCGUCGGAACGUGCCGAGUAGUGGGGGAUAACGCAGCGAAAGUUGUGCUAAUACCGCAUACGUACUGAGGUAGAAAGUGGGGGACCUUCGGGCCUCACGCUAUUCGAGCGGCCGACGUCUGAUUAGCUAGUAGGUGAGGUAAAGGGUCAACUAGGCGACGAUCAGUAGCGGGGCUGAGAGGGUGAUCCGCCACACUGGGACUGAGACACGGCCCAGACUCCUACGGAAGGCAGCAGUGGGGAAUUUUGGACAAUGGGCGAAAGCCUGAUCCAGCCAUGCCGCGUGUCUGAAGAAGGCCUUCGGGUUGUAAAGGACUUUUGUCAGGGAGGAAAUCCCUAGUGCUAAUAACACUGGGGGAUGACAGUACCUGAAGAAUAAGCACCGGCUAACUACGUGCCAGCAGCCGCAGUAAGAC